GGGCUACAGCAAUGGGGACUAUACAACAUGUGUUGACUUGGUUUAGUGGGCUACAGCAAUGGGGACUAUACAACAUGUGUUGACAUGGUUUAGUGGGCUACAGCAAUGGGGACUAUACAACAUGUGUUGACAGGGUUUAGUGGGCUACAGCAAUGGGGACUAUACAACAUGUGUUGACUUGGUUUAGUGGGCUACAGCAAUGGGACUAUACAACAUGUUUGAC
rnacentral:lncRNA from 1 species